UCGGGAAUUUUGGGCAAUGGGCGAAAGCCUGACCCAGCAACGCCGCGUGAAGGAUGAAGUAUUUCGGUAUGUAAACUUCGAAAGAAUAGGAAGAAUAAAUGACGGUACUAUUUAUAAGGUCCGGCUAACUACGUGCCAGCAGCCGCGGUAAUACGUAGGGACCAAGCGUUGUUCGGAUUUACUGGGCGUAAAGGGCGCGUAGGCGGCAAUUCAAGUCAUCUGUGAAAUCUCCGGGCUUAACUCGGAACGGUCAGAUGAUACUGCUUUGCUAGAGUGCAGAAGGGGCAAUCGGAAUUCUUGGUGUAGCGGUGAAAUGCGUAGAUAUUAGGAAGAACACCUGAGGUGAAGACGGGUUGCUGGGCUGACACUGACGCUGAGGCGCGAAAGCCAGGGGAGCAAACGGGAUUAGAUACCCUCGUAUUCCCUGAGCGGGCUGGCAAGGCGCAU
rnacentral:rRNA from 1 species